AGAAUCGCCACUGUACAUCUCCUUUCUCUUAAAACCGUGUUCAUAAAACAUGGAGCCACCUAGGUAAAGGUCCUCGCUCUGCCGAGACCUUCUCGCUCAAUCCCUCUGCUUCCAAGACAUUCCUCAGUGACUCCCACAGUGAAUUCCGCAUCCUGUUUCGGCCCACCUUGCCGCGAGCGGAAGUGACGGUACCGGGGAUUGAACUCAGGACCUUGCGCUUCCAAGCAGGCGCAGCACCACUGAGGCACACCCACCCCCCAGCCCCACCCCCCGUUGAUGGGAGACACAGGCCCCGCCUCCUAUGAGCCACGUCUCCUAGCAGCAUGUCAGCCAGAAGCCAGUCACCUCCACAAGUCCGGCCUGUGCGCACCCAGGACUCUUGUGGGCCUCUAGAUGGAACCAUCAGUCUGCAGUCCUACGCAGACUCCUGCUGGAGGGACAGGUGCUGGAAGACACUCGGGAGGCUGCACCUGCAGUUCCCACCACACUCAGUCUUGCACCACAUCUGGGCUGAGAAUCUGCGCAUUACCAAGGAUCGUGGUGCAAAUGCUGCUCACAGCCUGCUCCAGGAACCCCACAGCAGAGCCUCUCAGGUGUGUGGCUUUUCUGGUCCUGAGGCAUCUCUUACAGUGACCACUCAGGAGGCCCUGGACAGCCAUCUUGCCUGCACCCAGCUACAGAUGACAGGAACACUUCGCUGAAGAUAUAAGAAGCCCUGUGGUGGCUGGACAGACUGUGCCCAGAGGUCAAGGUGCAAGGGUGGAGGAUGCCAUGUGUCCCCUGCACUUGGAGAGGACCUGGUGGCACAUGGCAGCAGCAGCAGCAGCAGGCAGAUUGUGCUGAGUAGAUGGACAAGGGUGAAGUGGCCAAGUGCCAAAGAGAGGUUGUGAGAAGCUCCUGAGGAAGGCAAGUCUGAAGGUGACCACUUGAGAUUUGGGCAAAGGAGAGGCUCUUCAGGGACAGCACAGGACAAUUUGGAGGCAGGAGAGAGAAAAAAAACCAGGGGAAACCACCUUGCAUGAGUUUUUGUGCUGAUGAGGUGCGAUGCAUUCUUUCAAUGCACCCAACUCAAGGGAGAGGAAGUGGUCAGCGCUUUUCACCUCCGUGGGCACCGUGGGCACGCAUGUCACAGUCAUCUGUUGGAGCUCAGGUUGUGACUCAGUAGGUCAAGGGGUGAUAGCUAGGGGGCGGUGCUGCCACCAGUCCCUGACAAUACUGGAAUAGAGAGGAUCCAGCGACAUUCUUUAUCAGCUGAAGCUUUGAAAAGAGAACUCCGCUUGACCCUAGGAGAGGAACUGCCUCCCAGUGGUGUGGAACAGAGGAUUUUCUCCAUACCUGGCAGGCCAAUUAUUUCAAUCUGAUAGUUAUAGUAAUAAUAGUAAUAAUAAUAGUAUUAAUAAUGCUGAUUCUCUAGGGAUCUGUUGCUUGAGGAGAAGCCUUAGUUUCUCUUCUCAUAUAAAUAUAUAUGCUUCCUACAGCUGUGUGACAAGUUGCCACAAGCUUCAUGGCUAACACAACACAAAUUCAUGAUAUUAAGUCGUGGAGGCUGGAAGUCUGAGCUGGGGCUCACUGAGCCAAACUCGGGCUGUGGCCUGAAGGCUGCUUCCUCUGGAGGCCCUGGGAGAGAAUUGCUUCCUUCCCUCCUUUGUGUCCAGCAGCUGCCCCAUUCCUUGGCAUGGCCUGAUCUCCAUCCUGGAAGCCAACUGAGGAGGUGGGGGGAUGGAUAACCCCUUCUCAUAUAUCACCCUGAUCCGACUCCCAUGCCUCUCUCUGUCAACUAGAAUGCUAGGGAUUACCAGGGGCCUCCAAUGAGUGCACUCAUCUCAUCCCGAGGUUGGUGAUUGCAACCCUAAGUGCCCUUGUCACCACAUGUGACAUGUAGGUUCACAGGCUCCAGGACAGUAUGUGAACAUCUUGGGAAGGGGGAAUGUAUAUACACACAUUUUUCCUUUCCGACACAAAUUAUAGCAAACCACACACUAUUCUGCAUCUUGUUCUUACUGCUCAACAUAUCUUGUAGAUGGUGCCAAGUAAGUACAUUAAGAUUGAGCUAUUUUUCCUCUUACACUGAACUGAUCACUAUUCCAGAGAUGGUGGUGCACACUUGUAAUCUCAGCACUCUGGGAGGCUGAGGCAGGAGAAUUGCAAAUGGCAGGAUGAUUGCAAAUUCGAGCCCAACCUGGUCAUUUUAUUGACUUAGACUCUGUCUCAAAAUAAAAAAUAAAAGGGCUGACAUAUAACUCAGUGUGAAAGUCCUGGGU